rnacentral:tRNA from 1 species
GCCUGGGUGGCUUAGUGGGUUAAGCGUCUGCCUUGGGCUCGGGUCAUGAUCCCAGGAUCCUGGAUCAAGCCCAGCCUCAGGCU